rnacentral:rRNA from 1 species
UGGGGAAUAUUGGACAAUGGGCGAAAGCCUGAUCCAGCCAUGCCGCGUGUGUGAAGAAGGUCUUCGGAUUGUAAAGCACUUUAAGAUGGGAGGAAGGGCAUUAACCUAAUACGUUAGUGUUUUGACGUUACCGAUAGAAUAAGCACCGGCUAACUCUGUGCCAGCAGCCGCGGUAAUACAGAGGGUGCAAGCGUUAAUCGGAAUUACUGGGCGUAAAGCGCGCGUAGGUGGUUUGUUAAGUUGGAUGUGAAAUCCCCGGGCUCAACCUGGGAACUGCAUUCAAAACUGACUGACUAGAGUAUGGUAGAGGGUGGUGGAAUUUCCUGUGUAGCGGUGAAAUGCGUAGAUAUAGGAAGGAACACCAGUGGCGAAGGCGACCACCUGGACUAAUACUGACACUGAGGUGCGAAAGCGUGGGGAGCAAACA